CCCUUAGAUGUCCGGGGCUGCACGCGCGCUACACUGAAGGAAUCAGCGUGCUAAAACCAUUGUCGAAAGGCAUUGGUAAACCCAUUAAAAUCCUACGUGAUUGGGAUCGGGAAUUGCAAUUAUUUCCCCUGAACGAGGAAUUCCCAGUAAGUGUGGGUCAUAAGCUCGCGUUGAUUACGUCCCUGCCCUUUGUACACACCGCCCGUCGCUGCCCGGGACUGAGCCGUUUCGAGAAAAGCGGGGACUGCUGCUGUCGGGGCUUUCGGGCCUUGGCUUCGGUGGAAACCGCUUUAAUCGCAGUGGCUUGAACCGGGCAAAAGUCGUANCA
rnacentral:rRNA from 1 species